UGGUAAAAUUAACCUAUUUACUUUUUUCAUUACUAAAAUGAACGUUUUUUUGUAAUUCUUCUUGCUCUUACAAGUUCAAAAUAAGAAAAUGGAAUUUCAAUUGAUAGUUUCAUUCAUGGAAUCGUCGCAAGUUCGGUCUGGCUUUUGGGUAAAAUGGAACUUAUCGCUCUGGUUCCACCCAUCCGAAGACCCUGUGAUUCUUGGUGGUUGGGAAAGCAUGCAAAGGAGAAAAGGGGGAUUGAAAUAUAAAGCUAGGUCUGGACAUUACUGUUGAAAGAGUUAUGCAGUGCUCAUAUAGGCGUUAGCAUAAUUAAGACUCACUUUACAUUACCGGAUCAAAAGUCUUGGGUUACUUUCGAAAUGCAAUUGAUGGUAAACUGAUUCCAAUACGAGAAGUUCUCCAAGAAACUUGUGACCAAUACUAACGGAAGAUUCUUUCGGGUAGUUUUAGAAAAGCGAGCACAUUCUGCCAGAGAGAUAAGAAACUGUUUAAAACUUCUUAAAAGUCUGUAGCAGAUAUUCAGAAAUCAGAAUAUCCCAAUCAUCACAAGAAGCAAACGAACAUUAGUCAAUAUUGUAGUAUAAAUUUGUUAAACGAUUUCUGUUUGUUUAUCCGUAGUAUAAGUUAUGCAUGCAUGAAUUCGCUUACGCUUUUGUAGGGAUGUAUUUAUUUCCUUAGAUAUAAAUUUCAUGUUAUUAUUCCAAGAGUUCAAAAUUUAACAGGGAGACCUGUGUAAUGUUUACUUCACUUGUAGUGCAACAGUGUAAUUACAAAAUGUAUAGAAUUAACUGAGUAAUGUCUAUCUCUUUUAAA